GCGGGCGGUUGGAUGGCCGCGCCCGGCGUUCCGCUCGCGGGACGGCCGGGUGAGGAAAGUCCGGGCUCCACGGAGACACGGCGCCGGGUAACCCCCGGCCGGGGAGGACCAUGGGACACCAUGGGACGAACCCGAGGGAAAGCGCCACAGAGAACAGACCGCCCGAAGGGUCCGCCCCGAGGGCAAGGGUGAAACGGUGGGGUAAGAGCCCACCGCGCCCCCGGCGACGGGGGCGGCGCGGCAAGCCCCGCCGGGAGCAAGAUCGCAUAGGGACCGCGCAUCGGGCGUCUCCGCCCGGCGGUCCGGGUUGAUCGCGCGAAUCCGCCGGCGACGGCGGAUCCAGAUGAAUGGCCAUCCAGGCCGAUUCCCGAUUGAUUCGGGGCGGCUGGACAGAACCCGGCUUACAGACCGCCCGCACCU
rnacentral:RNase_P_RNA from 1 species